UGUGGUUACAGCAGACUGGAAGCCUAUAUAUGGGCAGAACUUCCUCAGACGUGAAACGUGGGGGUGAAUGGUCAACGUUGAGAAAUUCCUGCUGGCUAAUGGAAAUUGACAGCAUGCUAUGGCAUCUCGCAGGUGUAGUUCCCUUGUGUGGCCAGUGGACCGAACUGGGUCUGCAAGAGAUCGAGGUUCCUUCAGGGUGUGUUUAAUCUCCACUGCCUGCUUGCCUUUAACUAAAGGGUCUUUGCCUAGAUCUGGCGUAGAGAGAGGGAGAAAAUGCAGGUAUCCAGUAGGAUCACACUCAGUGCAGUCCGUCUUUGCUGCAUGCUGUGCAUAACCCUCUGCACACAGACACAGUUUUGAGAAAUGGGAAAGUACCACCAGCAUAAUGGAAACAACUAAAACCCUCGAGUUAAAUGUGGAUCAGUGGAAUGAAUGGAGUGUGAAGAAAAUCUGUCUUUCCACACAGCCCUUUCAAUUGGAAAUGGAGGAGGUAAAGUCUGAGGAAAACACAAUGCUGAAAUUGGGAAAAGACAGACUUACAGAGUCAGUAAAACUCUGUAAGUGUUAUUUAUGACUUACCAAUGUCAACAUCAACUGGUUCAGUCCAUCUCUCUUCCAGCACGUUAGAUAUCGAGCACAGGUAUGAUCCUCCAUGUUCAGCUGUCGCACAGUCAAUCUGCAUGCAUCACA